rnacentral:lncRNA from 9 species
GUGGAUUUGGGGCCGAUCCUCAACCGUGAGGAUCCGGUCCCUCACACCGAGCUCAUAACACCCUGGCAAUUUCCUGAAGGAGCAUCUUUUGUUAUUCAUAAGAAACCUGAGCACACCUGAGUUCUUGCUAAUGAGGUUUAUGCUAAUGAAGUGGGGCUGGUUGCCGGAGGAACCAAGCACGUGAUUAGAGGGUUUAGCGCUGCCCCCUACCCCAGCGCUGGCGGAGGGACUGGGGUGAGAGUGAGUCAGGGAGGGACAAGGCUUUCAUCAGUCAUCCCUGGUGGACCCUCCCAAGAAAACCCUAAGGGGUUCCAAGAGCCUCUCAUUGGGGAAGUGUCCACAGUUGGGAGGGUGACGCACCCCGAACUCCACAGAGACUGAAGCUCCUGGAUCCCACCUCUCGCACACCUGGCCCCUACUUCCUCAUCUGCCUGUACAUCCCUUUAGGAUCCACAGGUGGGCUUGGUUAUGCAAUGAAGGCCCUACCCUCUCCAUCAAUAAUUUGGGACAUAAAAUUGCAAGAGACAGAGGAUGUUUACAAGUUGCGGUUCCUUUUCCAUGUAAACACCACUGUGCUCAGCAGUGCUAACUCUGGAAUAAUGGCUUUCUCCAUCCUGUGAGAUUUUUCAGAGAAAAUUCCUUUCUAAGGUGGGUUAGGGACUCUGUUUGGGGGGGGUACAGGGCGGUGAGGCUUUCCCUUGGAGUCUCUUUCAGGCACUGUCUCAAACCCAUGACACACCAGCCCAGGAAUGCCAUCCAGAGCCAAGAGGAGCCCUGUGCCUCUUCUCUUCCUGGCACCGAGAGCUCACAAAACCCGAGCAGGCGCGCCCGGAUGGCAUUCUGGGCUGUGGGAAAGCCGUGAAUGGGCUCAUUGAAGUGCAUCCAUGAAAAUGAGGGCCCUUUGCAACUGGC